UACUUAGAUUGAUCUUAUACUGAUUUUUAAAAGGGCUUUUGAUAAUGAAAAAUGCAACAAUAUGCAUGGAUAGUAAUGAGUAAUUAAUUAUCUUUUUAUUUAUGUAUUUAUGUAUAACCAGAAGCUUUAAGACACUGAACCUAUUUCCAUUUCUAAUUGGAAUGUGAAAACUGGCAUUGGUUAGUAUGCACAUUUUUAUUUAAUAUUUGUUCUCUCAGGCUUUCUAUUCCAUACUAACUGCAUUCAGAAGUGGUACAUUCCAGACUUUAAAAGCAGUGAAAAGCACUUCACCCCCUCGGUUCUUUUUCCAAUGCAUGGAUUUAGGUAUAUGCUAUUUAAUCACAAAAGGUGGAAUAUUUGGAACUGAACUCAUUUUCUGUGGAAGUGUUUUUUAUCUUAUAUUUUGGAAAUGUAGACCUUUUUUCCCUUUAAAUUUUUUGGGGGCCCCCAAGAGAGUGGGGCCCUAAACUCUAGCUUUUAUAGGUAAAUCCGGCACUGAUAUUAUCUGCGCAUCUUCGGCGGGGAAUGUUCCUUAUUCUGGAACUUCCCUCAUGCCAUUCUGCGCCUUCUUUUUCACUGAUCCUCAGGCGUUUUUAAGCGAACGUCCCCUUAUUAAAAGAAGAGAGAAAACCAGCAAAGCCCCUAGAUUCUCAGCCGCUGCCUCAAGAAAAACAGGCGCCGGCUGGGAAAGGGAAGAGGCGUUUUAACAAUCGCAAAUAAGUUGCUUCGUUUGCUGAUUAAAGGCGGCUGUGUGAUUCUUGCCCUAAUAUCGAAAGGGGUUGAGAUUGGGAAAGAAGAGGCGGGAAAGCUGUGUUCUUUUCCCUUCAGCGCCCAGCGUGAAUCCACUCCGCUCAAAGAUGCGAGCGGGCCGUGUGGCUUUUGCAGGCGCGCGGAGAAGCGCUGAGGGAAAACUGCCCGGAGGGAGAUCCGCCCCCCUCGGCGGGGCUGCUUAGCGGGAAGCGGCUUUCCCCGCGCGCUGGCCCUCGCGGGCGCUUCUGCGCUUAAAACUCCCCGGCCAACGGCUCCUUGGCACCCCUUCGGCGAGCGCUGCUCAUAAUGCAGUGCUGAUGAUGGAGGGGAAAAGGCGGGAAUCUGCGGAGGGGGAAGCUGAAACAGCUACCAAGAUGAAAAUUGGCCCAGGACAAAUAGAUGUCUCUACAGAGAUCAAAUACUACCAAUCUGAAAGUUUAACUGUACCUAUGGAAAGUCAUAUAACUUUUAGUAGAAUUUCAAGAAUAGAUAAUGGACUUGUGAAGACCUUUAAUUCUGAAAUUCUUAGUCCAAAGAAUGAUUUAAUUAAUAAACCAGUUGAAGAAGAAUUCUAUUCCAGUCAAGACACCUAUUUAAGUUCUAUGGCUGAAGCUGCACUGAAUUGCGGGAAACAUACUCUGAAUAGAGAAAAUGAACAUGCAAUGUUUGAAGUUAAAAUGCAGCCAUGUACACAAGAGUUUUGUGAUGAAGUCCUUGGAAAAUAUCAGAAAUUACCAGAAGCGACUCUUUCAGAAGUGACAACAUGUGCAUAUUUACCACAAUUGCAACUGUGCUCACAGAAUAUCAAUUUUCCAUCUUCCAUAAUGACAGAACAUAGAGGUUCCAUGCUAUCUCUUGGCACCAGUACUGCUGAUGGAGCAGUCAAUACAAAUGUAGACAUGAUACCAGUAUUGAGAACAAUAACUUCAACUGCAGAUGCAAAGAACUGUGUUUCUUGUGACCAAAUCAAAGGAAUUAUGAAUAGUUCUACUGUGUCACAAGCCAUACCAGAGUGUUCUGGUGAAUCAUGCAAUGGUAUCACUGUUUCAUCUCAGGAUACUGCUGCUGUUUGUGAUGAGAUUGCUGAGGUCAGAGAAGCAGUUGUUAGCAUUACAGCUAAUAAUUCAGAUGAAGCAGUUUUUCAAAAUUCAAAUGGUGAAGAAAUCAGCCAUAACCUAGCAGCUUCACAAAAUGCAAUGGAGGAACCUACCUGUUCACAGAGAAAUUAUGCCAGUCCUCAAGUGAUCAUCUGCCAGUUGAAGGGUGGUACUCAUAUACUUUGUAUAAACAAUACAGACACAAGAGAAUUAAAAGCAGUUCAUUUGGUCCCCCAGUAUCAAGACCAGCCUAAGUAUCCUCAGACAGAUGCAAGUAAUUCUGUAACAUCUGUACUGGGACAGUUUUUACCAGUUGGAGGUAAACUGAAUGUCUGUGCACAAGAGCUUGAUAAUGGAUCCAUAUAUACAUGCCAUUCAGAUAAAAAUCUUCAAGAGCCAACAAAACUGACCUUAGUUGGGUUACCUUGCAGCUCCUGGGAUACAAAGUCAAAAAAGCCAUGCAACUGCACUAAAUCACAGUGUCUCAAAUUAUACUGUGAUUGCUUUGCCAAUGGUGAUUUCUGCAGUAACUGCAACUGCAAUAAUUGUUAUAACAAUCCACAACAUGAACUAGAGAGGAUUAAGGCAAUUAAGGCUUGUCUUGACCGAAAUCCAGAAGCUUUCCUGCCAAAGAUUGGAAAAGGGAAACUAGGAGAUAUCAAGCCCAGACAUAAUAAAGGAUGUAAUUGUAAGCGGUCAGGGUGCCUAAAAAAUUACUGUGAAUGCUUUGAGGCUAAAAUCAUGUGUUCAUCUAUCUGCAAGUGUGUUGGUUGCAAAAAUUAUGAAGAAAGCCCAGAUCGAAAAACACUAAUGAAUAUACCAAACUAUAUGGAAAUUAAAAGUUAUGAAGGAAAUGGCUCUGUAUCAUUUUCUAAUUUUGAAAUAUUAUCAAAAAGCAGAAAAGACAGGCAGUCUAGUACAUGUAUAUCAUGGGAAGUGGUUGAGGCAACAUGUGCCUGUCUUCUUGCUCAAGCUGAAGAGGCAGAAAAAGAAGCUUACUCUAUUUGCCUAGCAGAACAAAUGAUCUUAGAAGAAUUUGGAAGAUGCUUAUCACAGAUUCUGCACUCUGAAUUUAAAUCCAAAGGGCUGAAAGUUGAAUAAUCUGCUCUGGAUACAAAUGCACAAUGAACUGCAGUAAUGCUUGAAAUAGCCUUUGGUGUUGAUAAUAUUGAUAAAAAACAACUUACCAUUCUUAUUCUCAUAUCAUUGCUAUUUUUUAUUUCCAUAUAAUGCUAGUAGUGGCCAGGAUGGAGCUGCAUUGCUUACCUGGCUUCCCAAGCCAAAGGUCAUUGUAAGUAACCAAGACGGGGAGUAGGGUGGCAGUAGGGAGGUCAACAUGGUGCAGGUUAAUAUUCCAGAUUAACAGUAUAAUUAAAUGCAUGUAAACUAAAUUAUUUUGGUUUAUAAAUUAAAAUUUCUCAUCUUUCUGCUACUAUAGGCUCAAAUAGAUUAACAAACACAGAUUUAGAUGUAUUCCAGAUAACUGGCUUGUGGAAUACACAUUAUAUAAUUUCUAAAUUACUCUGAAUUAAAUUUGAUUAGAUGCAAGCUCAAUACGUGAAAAUAAUUCCUAGUUAAAAUAUUUUUGUUUGAGUCAAGGACACUCACUCAAAACUUCCCUCCAAGUUUAAUCAUUUCACAGAUUUAAAUGAAAAUUAGCCUGAUUAACGGUGCUGUAAAAAUGGGAGUGCCUCAGAUGUAAUUUGGUUUCUAUUUAUCUUAAUGUUGAAUUGUUUUAAAAGAUUGCUUUUCAUUUACUGUACUUUACUAGUUUUGUAACGAGGAAAACUGCUAGAAAUUUUAGCUAAUGCAACCCUUUAUUAAGAAUUUUUUCUUGUGCUAAAAGAGAAACAUGCAGUACAUGUGAAAGUAAAACAUUGAAUUCAUGACAUUUGUGUCACAAUCCGAAUGAUUUGCACCUCUGUGUAGCAAAACUUGCAUUAAAGUUGAUGUUUAGUAAAUAUAUAUCCUUUAAAAAGUUUUUAAAAUUUUUGUUUUCAAGGAACAAUUCAGAAGCUACUUAAUACUGGUACAGCCGCAUAAAGGACAAGCCUACUGUACUAUGCACCACUGGUAAUAGUUCAUUUCAGUUAGUUUACAUGCAGUGCAGUCCUAUGCCUGUCUGUUCAGGCAAGUAAGGGUGUGUAAUACUGCAGCUUUAACCUUUUGAUAUUGCUACAGAGCAGAGCAAUUUGUUCACAAUAGUUAUGGAAUCCUUAGCUGAACUCUAUUUUAAUUGCUUAUUCAUUGCUUUUCAUUUUAUAUGAGCCUUCUGAAAAUUUCUCCCAAUACCUGCAUGGCAUCACAAAAUUUAUUUUAUAGCCUGUUGAGGUUUAAGGAAACCCAGAUAGAUGAGGACAGUAAUGUCUUAUUUUACAAGUGUGGAUGAGAUAAGAUUUCUCACUUUCUAAUCAUUUACUUAGGCUUCUGUGCUUCUUACUAUUUAUAUUAAUAGUACCUUUUAAGAUUGUGCUAAAUGAAUGAACACCUUCACAUCCCAGAAACUAUCACAGAGGCAAUUACCAACUUCCUCUUCAUAAGUAUGUGGUUCAACUUACCUCAUUUCCUGAUGUCAUUAUUUUGUCCAGUAUUGGCCUGCUGGUGCCUGGUGAAUGAUGGGGAAAUGUUCCAAACCUGUUCCAUGGGAGUCAGCCAGUGUUGAACUUUGCUGUGGUGCGAGCCAAGCAAGCAAGGUCUCACUGGGGGACCAGGGUGCAGAUUCCAACCAGACAGAUACUGACAGCUUUUUCCCAUGAGCCCAUCACACAGAGAAGAUACUGGGCAAAACCUUGCCCAAUAUUUUGCUGCAAUCUAUGGGUCACAGCGCCGCCGGGCAAAGGCACCCCGUGCUUAUUGGGCACAGAAAGGGGCAUCUGAAAGUGACACUUAUAAUGCUGUUUGAAAGAUGUUGGUCCUUGUGACUCUAUUGGCCUUACUCUUUUUUUACUGCAGUUUUGCUGUCUGUAAAAUGGACAUAUUUGGUUGCUUAAAUUUCAUAAAGAUGAUUGAUUGUACAAUGCUAGCAUAUGAGACCUUGAUUUUAAGAGACCCCACUGUAAUGCAAACAAAACACUAUUCUUUUAGGGUGAUAAAAGACAUGUGGAUUAGUCCUGAAAAGCCAAAUACUACCCUGAGAGCACAUAUCAAAAUAAUGCUUUUCAUGAAUCUUAAUUACGGGAUAGCAAAAAUCUACAUUAUAUUAUCCACUUCAGAUACAAAUGUGACUCACUAUUCAAUUACUACAAUCAGUACUCAUUUAGGAGCAACUCUAACACACUGUCUCUUUGUGAACCAUUUUUGUCAGAGUAAUUACAUUAGUAAUAGCUGAUUACACAGCAGUCUUAUGUUCCUAUGAAAUUAACGUAAUUACAGCAGCUACAAACACAUCUGUCUAUAUUACACUCUAAUAAGAAAACUAGUCAGAAGGCGUGCUAUGUUUACAAUGUAUUUAAAGCUAAAGAUCACUGUGGUAAAAUUAUAUUGUUAAGGGAAAGUUUUGGAGAGCUAGGAAGAACUUGCAUCGGGUGAUAUAUGUAUUCCACAGAACAAAUGGAUUUUAAACAAAAAACUUUUAUCUCUCACUGAAUGGGGCAAAAAAAAAGUGUAUUAACUUUUUUAAAAAUUACAAAAUGCUUCCCAUGUACUUUUAUUACCAAUAUUUUUGAUAAUGGUAUUCUGCAGUAUAUAAAUUACUAGAAUAUGUAGACUGUCCAGGGGAUCCUGUGUGGGUCAAAGACUUUUGCAGGAAGUCCAGAAGUUGUCUGGUUCCCUGUUACCAUGAAUGAAAUGACAAUAACACUGUUGAAGUGGGUAGAACGGUCAGGAGAUGCCACCAACUGUCAGAAGACAGCGUCAGCAGGGGCUUCUGCAGCACUACCCAGAUUUUCUGAGACCCCAAAUGCCAGGACACUGAGUGGGGAAGAUGAUUAGUGGGAGAUGGAUAUUCCUAGAAUCAGACUGGCAUUCAUAGGCUUUGUAUACACCAUAUGUUUAAAGUACAUCAUGUUCCCCAAAGGAUCCUGAUAACGGUAGUUUAUGAAAUGUGGUGUGAAUUGUAGCUCCUUGGACUAUGUUAGAGGUGGAAAGGAGCCGUACGGGGCAGCUUUGAAGACCGGUGCUGGGAGGGAGAAGCGGUUUCCGUUGACUAGUAACCACUUCUGCCUUCUUGAGCAAGGUGUGUGGAGUGUGACUUGCUCCAGGAAAGGAACAAUUUGGAGCCAAGGUUAAGCUCCUGACUGUUCCUUUGAAGACACACCUUAAUCAACACUGCCCCUGAUGUCACACAUUGCAUUAGCUGUAGCGUGGGUGGAUAAGGUUUCCCCAAAAUGCCCUUGUGUCCAAAAGGGGAUGUCAUGUCAGGUUUGACCCAUGGGGUAGAGUUUACCCACCCUUGGCUUAAGGGGCUAAUCUCCUGCUCUGCAGGCCAUUGAGAUUGGAACUGCUCAUUAUUAACAACUGAUUGCCUAUCAUAGGUUUACAUUUUGUUUUUUUAGUUCAAACAUGGUUGCUUUGUGGGAUGGCAGGCUGUUCUGAUAGAGGGUCAAAAAUUCAGCCCAGGGAUUUGAUACUUAAGGAGGAAAUGAAACCAAAAGAUCUAAAGAAGAGGGAGGGAGAAACUUAACAUACUGUAUUAUAAUAAAGAGAAAUUGAAGUAGAGUUGUGCUGCCCUUCUGAUUGGCUAUGACAUUGCAAGUUGGAGUUGAAAUAUUAUAUAUAAAUCAAAUGGGCAAAUAAACUUAAGUUACAGUUUGAGCACUUUUGGAGAAAGAAGGAGCUGAAAUCGAAAGACAAGCCAAGAUGGAAGGGGCUGCAGCGGACCAGAACUCCAGAAUUUGAAAGGAAAGGGCUGGAAAUGGCUUUAACUGCUAAGUUUUAACAUCUGUAAUAUAGAUUCUAUAAGAAGCCGUUGAGAGCAAGGGAUUUGGAGUACAGUGUCACUGUUGUACUAAUGUCACCCAGCACUAUUUCUCUGUUACAAAUGAGUCAGGUGUGGUUGUACAGGUCCAGUGCCUGAAUGUAGUGGUGGACUAGAUGAUAGGGAUAGGUGAAUAUGUUGAUUUUGGUUUUUCUCAGCUUCUCAUUUUUCCAGUGUGAAGUUCAGUUUUUCACGUUUUUUCACAUUUUUUUCUGG